CUGCACUCAUUGGUUACUGCUGAUGAAUAAACCCAUUCAAGCUUCUACAUUAUUGAAAUUCUGGAGAAGAUACGCCCAGUAAUUCUGUCAAAGAACAAGAAUUUUCCUGAACUCGUUGAAAUUUUCAGAAACCAAAAUCAAUUUAUUUUGUAUCAAAAAGGAAAUAUAAGGAUGAUCGUCAAAACACGAAUCAACGGAACAUAUCUAAAUUAGUAUUGUCAUAAAUUACGAUAAUAAUUUCUAGCAUUACUGAAAGAAAGUGCACAAAUAAACCCAGAAAAGCAUUCCAUUGUUAUCCUCGUUUCGAAUCCGAUGGAUUCCAAAAUUUACAGGAUACUAGAUUUGUUGAUAUUUGUGAUCUGAAUGUUAAUAAUAAACAAUUCCUACUGUUUAAUAAAUGAUAAUUCUUUUUGAAACGGAAAAGUGUUGAUUGCAGUAAUAAUUAUCAAAUACUAAAAAACCAAUGGCGGAUACGAUACGAAAAUUAAACCAAGUACAAUUGAAGUGCCCAUCACAAUUCUUACUACUAUUGUCUUUUGACAUUCCACUGUUUUCUCGGCAACCAAACAGCAAAUAGAAAGAGCAAUAAAAAACAGAGUGAAUAGAAAGCUAGGGUUUGAGAGAAUGAACCUGCUGAGGACGAGUUGAGAGACGGCAAUGAAGCUGCGGAAAUCGGAAGAGAGAUGGAGUUGCAUUGAAAUUGCGGGAUCCCGAUCCAGUAUUAGAUUUUGGGGAUGAGUUUCAAAUUGGAAUUUUACCGCCUUUUGCUCUUUCCCUCCAUAAUUGGAACCUUCAUCUCGCUGACGGCUGGGAUUAUAUGACUUCC
rnacentral:lncRNA from 1 species